GCCUGGGUGGCUCAGUCGGUUGGGCAACUGACUUCGGCUCAGGUCAUGAUCUCGCAGUCCGUGAGUUCGAGCCCCGCGUCAGGCU
rnacentral:tRNA from 1 species